GACGAACGCUGGCGGCGUGCUUAACACAUGCAAGUCGAACGGAAAGGCCCUGCUUUUGUGGGGUGCUCGAGUGGCGAACGGGUGAGUAACACGUGAGUAACCUGCCCUUGACUUUGGGAUAACUUCAGGAAACUGGGGCUAAUACCGGAUAGGAGCUCCUGCUGCAUGGUGGGGGUUGGAAAGUUUCGGCGGUUGGGGAUGGACUCGCGGCUUAUCAGCUUGUUGGUGGGGUAGUGGCGUACCAAGGCUUUGACGGGUAGCCGGCCUGAGAGGGUGACCAGCCACAUUGGGACUGAGAUACGGCCCAGUCUCCUACGGGAGGCAGAAGUGGAGAAUAUUGCACAAUGGGCGGAAGCCUGAUGCGACAACGCCGCGUGCGUGAUGACGGCCUUCGGGUUGUAAACCGCUUUCGCCUGUGACGAAGCGUGAGUGACGGUAAUGGGUAAAGAAGCACCGGCUAACUACGUG
rnacentral:rRNA from 1 species